rnacentral:rRNA from 1 species
GUUGAACGCUGGCGGCGUGCCUAAUACAUGCAAGUCGAGCGAACAGACGAGGAGCUUGCUCCUCUGACGUUAGCGGCGGACGGGUGAGUAACACGUGGAUAACCUACCUAUAAGACUGGGAUAACUUCGGGAAACCGGAGCUAAUACCGGAUAAUAUAUUGAACCGCAUGGUUCAAUAGUGAAAGACGGUUUUGCUGUCACUUAUAGAUGGAUCCGCGCCGCAUUAGCUAGUUGGUAAGGUAACGGCUUACCAAGGCAACGAUGCGUAGCCGACCUGAGAGGGUGAUCAGCCACACUGGAACUGAGACACGGCCCAGACUCCUACGGGAGGCAGCAGUAGGGAAUUUUCCGCAAUGGGCGAAAGCCUGACGCAGCAACGCCGCGUGAGUGAUGAAGGCCUUCGGGUCGUAAACCUCUGUUAUAAGGAAAGAACAAGUGUGUAAGUAACUAUGCACCUAUUGACGGUACCUUAACAGAAAGCCACGGCUAACUACGUG